GUGCUUUCUUCAGUGGCAUAUAUGCUAAAAAUUGGACUAAUACAGAGAUUAGCACGGCCCCUGAGCAAGAAAGACACUCAAAUUUGUAAAGUGUUCUGUAUUUCU